GACGAACGCUGGCGGCGUGCCUAAUACAUGCAAGUUGAGCGAUGAAGAUUGGUGCUUGCACCAAUUUGAAGAGCAGCGAACGGGUGAGUAACGCGUGGGGAAUCUGCCUUUGAGCGGGGGACAACAUUUGGAAACGAAUGCUAAUACCGCAUAACAACUUUAAACAUAAGUUUUAAGUUUGAAAGAUGCAAUUGCAUCACUUAAAGAUGAUCCCGCGUUGUAUUAGCUAGUUGGUGAGGUAAAGGCUCACCAAGGCGAUGAUACAUAGCCGACCUGAGAGGGUGAUCGGCCACAUUGGGACUGAGACACGGCCCAAACUCCUACGGGAGGCAGCAGUAGGGAAUCUUCGGCAAUGGACGAAAGUCUGACCGAGCAACGCCGCGUGAGUGAAGAAGGUUGUCGGAUCGUAAAACUCUGUUGGUAGAGAAGAACGUUGGUGAGAGUGGAAAGCUCAUCAAGUGACGGUAACUACCCAGAAAGGGACGGCUAACUACGUG
rnacentral:rRNA from 1 species